rnacentral:rRNA from 1 species
CCUACGGGGGGCAGCAGUGGGGAAUAUUGGGCAAUGGACGCAAGUCUGACCCAGCAACGCCGCGUGAAGGAAGAAGGCUUUCGGGUUGUAAACUUCUUUUAAGGGGGAAGAGCAGAAGACGGUACCCCUUGAAUAAGCCACGGCUAACUACGUGCCAGCAGCCGCGGGAAUACGUAGGUGGCAAGCGUUGUCCGGAUUUACUGGGUGUAAAGGGCGUGCAGCCGGAGAGACAAGUCAGAUGUGAAAUCCACGGGCUCAACCCGUGAACUGCAUUUGAAACUGUUUCCCUUGAGUGUCGGAGAGGUAAUCGGAAUUCCGAGUGUAGCGGUGAAAUGCGUAGAUAUUAGGAAGAACACCAGUGGCGAAGGCGGAUUACUGGACGAUAACUGACGGUGAGGCGCGAAAGCGUGGGGAGCGAACAGGAUUAGAUACCCCAGUAGUC